AGCGCAGACGGUUGAUUAAGUCUGAUGUGAAAGCCCGGAGCUCAACUCCGGAAUGGCAUUGGAAACUGGUUAACUUGAGUGUUGUAGAGGUAAGUGGAACUCCAUGUGUAGCGGUGGAAUGCGUAGAUAUAUGGAAGAACACCAGUGGCGAAGGCGGCUUACUGGACAACAACUGACGUUGAGGCUCGAAAGUGUGGGUAGGCAAACA
rnacentral:rRNA from 1 species